AUUAGGACUCGCGGCCGCGUGCUUUUCUUUCGCGGAGAGCUCUGCGGGGUGGGGGUUGGUUAGUGUGUGUUUCGCAGUGUGUGCAGCGGGCCUCGCGGCCUAAGGCGCAUAUGGGAAGAGCUGGGGCCUCGGCGCGGGCGGCCAUGUUGCGGGGACGCGGGCGCUCCAGCUCCUGGAGGUUGAGCUCGGCGUUCCCCUGCGGGAGGGCGCGAGUGCCCCCGCCCGGCUCAGGGAGCGCGGGGUGCCCGCUUCCUCCGUCCGCGCCCAGUCUGCUGCCCCCGCCUCGGGCCUGCGCCAUGUUGCCCGUUUGGGGGCGAGGGUGAGGUCGCAGGGCGUGGUUGGGAAUUCUUGCUGAGGGUUUCCGAGCUGCCAGGUCUCAGAUCGUAGGAAACCGCCCGCGCUCUUGUCCCCGUUUGUGGGAAGCUGGCUGCCCUGUGCAGGGUGGGACAGAGACAGUGGGGGACGGAACGAGCCUGGUGCGGGCGUUUCCUGCAGGCCGGAAGGGAAAUGUCAAGGUGCUAAAGAAGCGCGUCUCCAAGUGCAUCACGGGACUGUUGCUGGGAGCAGGUGUUUGUAAAUGCUGAGGGGCCACUGUCAGCACCCCGUCACGCUGUUCUCUUGGAGUCGCCAGGUCCCGUCUCUCCAGGGACAGGUGUGACCGUGGCCGAGCAAGCACUGAUGCCCACCCAGGCCGGCCAGGGAGAGCGGCGCUGCACAUACACUGAGCUCACGGACAUCUGGAUCCUGCAGGUGUACAGUCCGGGUGCCAGGCCCUGUCCCUGAACUCCUGAAGGCCUGCCACCAGCACUGGAAGUCCCUUCUGCACAUACACCCUAUGUAUCCAUGAUACCGACCUGCCCUUCUGGCCCUGGGCCACCAUAGAGGACAGCAUCCUGCUGGCUGGGCAUGCUCAGCUGGAUCUGCAGUGAGGCAGCUGGGCCGCACCAAGCUCAUGCUGGGGCCCGACCCCACACACGGACAUCGUGGACGGGCUGCUGUCCCACAGCGUGCCCAGGAGAGGGUGGACAAGCAGCCUGUCGGGCCUCACGGAGCAGUGUGCCAGACACCUGGACAGGAGAGGAACCGUCUGUAGGACACAGCUCGCCUUCAAGGACAACAGCGUGUGCAGGAAGGAGUGAGCUCGGGGAGGUGGACUGGGAGCCUGCGCUGUGCUAGGAGGGGCGGAGGCCUGGCCUUGGCGCCUUCCUUGUGUGUGUUCAUCCCCGGCCUGUUCCACGUACGGCACUGCCAAGAGCCCGUGAGAGAGGAAGCCACGAACGAAGGUGGCCGCUUGCCGUGGGUCAGGUCCUACAGGGAGGCUGGUGGGCCCCAAAGCCCUGCCGGCUAAGGCAGGGAUCCCCUAGCCCACAAGGCAAAGGCAUCUUAAGUUUUUCACUUCAAAAGUUUUUUUAAUGCAUUAUUUUUACUUAAUAUGUUAGGCAUAUGCGACACUUUGUAGCAGUCAUGUCUACCUCUUUAACAGCUUGCCUCUCCUCCA